CGGAGAGGGCGCAUGAGAAACGGCUACCACUUCUAAGGAAGGCAGCAGGCGCGCAAAUUACCCAAUCCUGACUCAGGGAGGUAGUGACAAGAAAUAACAAUAAACCGGCUUAUGCCGGUUUAAUUGGAAUGAGUACAAUUUAAACAUCUUAACGAGGAACAAUUGGAGGGCAAGUCUGGUGCCAGCAGCCGCGGUAAUUCCAGCUCCAAUAGCGUAUACUAAAGUUGUUGCAGUUAAAAAGCUCGUAGUUGGAUUUCUGCGGGGACGGAGCGGCCGGACGCAACUUGCGUCUCGAGCUAGCGCUUUCCCCGCAUCCUGCCGCGAACCGUGCUACCAUUAGCUUGGUGGCGCUGGGGAUCGGCUCGAUUACUUUGAGAAAAAUAGAGUGUUCAAAGCAGGCCACACGCCUUGAAUAAGUUAGCAUGGAAUAAUGACUAAGGACUUCGGUUCUAUUUUGUUGGUGUUCGGGACUGAAGUAAUGAUUGAUAGGGACAGUUGGGGCGGUCUGUAUUCCAAAGCGAGAGGUGAAAUUCUUAGACCUUCGGAAGACAAACAGCUGCGAAAGCGUUCCGCAAGGAUGUUCCCUUUGAUCAAGGACGAAAGUUGGGGGAUCGAAGACGAUCAGAUACCGUCGUAGUCUCAACUAUAAACUAUACCAGCUAGGGAUCGGUCAACGUUUAAUCAUUCGACUUGAUCGGCACCUUAUGAGAAAUCAAAGCAUCUGGGUUCCGGGGGGAGUAUGGUCGCAAGGCUGAAACUUAAAGGAAUUGACGGAAGGGCACCACCAGCCGUGGAGCCUGUGGCUUAAUUUGACUCAACACGGGAAAACUUACCAGGUCCAGACAUAGUAAGGAUUGACAGAUUGAUAGCUCUUUCUUGAUUCUGUGGGUGGUGGUGCAUGGCCGUUCUUAGUUGGUGGAGUGAUUUGUCUGGUUAAUUCCGUUAACGAACGAGACCCCAGCCUGCUAAAUAGCGCGGCUGAGCUUUGCUCGGUGCGAGCUUCUUAGAGGGACUAUGGUGCGCGAUAGCACAUGGAAGUUUGGGGCAAUAACAGGUCUGUGAUGCCCUUAGAUGUUCUGGGCCGCACACGGGCUACACUGGCGCCUGCAACGAGCAUAUCAGCUGGCCCGAGAGGGUCUUGGCUAAUCUUUUGAACCGGCGCCGUGCUUGGGAUUGACCAUUGCAAUUGUUGGUCAUGCAACGAGGAAUGCCUUGUAAACGCGAGUCAUCAGCUCGCAUUGAAUACGUCCCUGCCCUUUGUACACACCGCCCGUCGCUCCUACCGAUGAAUGUUCCGAUGAAAUUUUCGGAGAGCGCCAGAGAGCGGGGCUCUGCCUUGCAGAUCUGGAGGCUCAAAGUCACUUAAAUCUGAACAUUUCGAGGAAGGAGAAGUCGUAACAAGGUAACC
rnacentral:rRNA from 1 species